GAAGAGGAGGAAAAGGAUGCAGGUAACAGCAGCUCAGUCACACUUGGCCUCUAGUCAGAGGGAAGAAGCGGCCCAGUGACGCGAGAGCAGCAGACCAUCUCCGGGUGGAAGGCACACCUCGGACACCCCACAGAGCCCACCCCUGGUGCCAGCAGGAGCCCCACGGAACCCCUCACCGUCCCACCAGCCCUGGAAGGGCACAAUUAACCACAGCAGUGGGGAAGCCACAGUGCCGGAAGAGUGGAGAGCCAGAGCUGAAGGGCCGCAGUGCCAGCAGGGGGCUCCUGCGGGGUGCUCCCUCGGGGCUGGCGGGCAGCGUGGACCUCCAGGCCUGCCCCCGAUCCUGAGACCUGGGGAGUGGGGUGGGACCCUGCCUCCUCAUGCUCCCCCAGUGAUCCCCAAGGAAGCCAGGGUGGGAAACCCCUGAUUCCUUAAACACCUUCAUUUUGCACAUGGGUAAACUGAGGCCCAAGGAGGCCCAGCCCUUUGCCUGAGGCCUCUGGGUGGAGCUGCCUCACUCUCGGCCUAUGCUCCUUCCCAACCCACCU
rnacentral:antisense_RNA from 1 species